rnacentral:rRNA from 1 species
UACGAAGGGGGCUAGCGUUACUCGGAAUUACUGGGCGUAAAGGGCGCGUAAGCGGCUCUGUAAGUCAGGCGUGAAAUUCCUGGGCUCAACCUGGGGGCUGCGCUUGAGACUGUGGGGCUAGAGGAUGGAAGAGGGUCGUGGAAUUCCCAGUGUAGAGGUGAAAUUCGUAGAUAUUGGGAAGAACACCGGUGGCGAAGGCGGCGACCUGGUCCAUUACUGACGCUGAGGCGCGACAGCGUGGGGAGCAAACAGG